rnacentral:tRNA from 1 species
UCCCCAGUGGCGCAAUCGGUUAGCGCACGGUACUUAUAAGACAGUAUAGUUGUGAGCAAUGCCGGGGUUGUGAGUUCGAGCCUCACCUGGGGAA